UGAAGAAAGAUGCAGAAAAGGCAGAACGUGAAACACAGACUCCAGAUUCCACACACCAGCUGCCUCGCUCUCAUCCUGAUGGUAGCUUUCAGCUGCUUUGCACACUAAGGUCCCUGGAUGUGGUGAUACAGUACGGUCCCUGGAUUUUUCCCUGGGUUUCUGUGGUCUGUAGAAAGAAUAAACAGCAGAAUGUUUUGUUGCACAGGAGCAGGGUUAAGCCUAAAGUCAGGGCAGGAAAAUAAAGAAUUCAGAAGAAAUGACUGAAAAAGAAAAGGCAUGUUGCUACCCAAAAAGGUCACAGAGGGAGAAUGAAACAGUGCUGUGCCAUGUACCGGUGUUCCUGAGACUAAAACUCUAGAGAGCAGAAGAUGGAGCUUUCUUGGCAGCUAACUCAUACCUGCAGAAAUCCCUCAUUGCAUGUGGUGAGAGGUGUGAAAACUACAGCUACUUUCAAAGUCGAGGAAUUCAGCAUCUUUCACCAGAAGUCAGUAUCUUUGUAGAGAGGACUUGAGUGGCCACAAAGAUCAAAGGUUUGUCACUCAUGGAACACAAGUCUGUCUUUAAAGUUCUUUUGCUGGGAAAACAGAGCCAGGUCAGAUGUGUGCUCUUCUUGAACUUCAGUGGAAGUGAGGCUGUGGAAUAUCAAACAUGAUACCCUCAUUCUGGCGAUUACCUUGCAGUAAUGAAAGUUCAUAUCCACCUUGUUCUUUGUAAGAAUCACAAGAUAGUCUCCUUCCUGACCACAGCAGUGUGCCUGUGACAGGUUCUAUCACCAUAGAAAUUGCUGUUACGUGCUGUUCUGCGAUAGGAGCAGCCUUCCACAUGGCCAGCUACUCAACUCUCCCAAGCUACUUGACCCAAGCAAGAAUGAGAAGGAACAAAUAUCUCCGAAGUAUUGCCCCUUUCUGAAGUCCUCACAGUUGAAGCCUUUCUGAUUCCACAAGAUUUUAGCAAAAGGUGUGAAAUGAAAAUAUCCAGACAAAUAAGUAUGACAACCAGAAAAGACUCCAUCACAGACCAGCCUUUUUUAAAGGUAUAGCAGGACAGUCAACACUUUUGGCCAGAGUGUCAAGAAAAAAGAAGUAUUCAGUGCCUAUAAAUGAGUUAGUACAGAUUUGUCUGCUUCAGCCUCAUAAUCCUUGCAUCUAACUGAUACUCAGUCUCUCCCCCUGUAUAAGGACAUUUAAGGUCUGUUGCUGAGUGCUUGCAUAUAUCUUUGUAUUCAGAAAAGGCAUUGCAGUAUUUCCUAGCUCAUGUUUGGCUGUCAUGUGGAAAUAUUUCAGCUUCACUGAGCUAUUUUAUCUGUAUUCAUCAUUGUUUCAAAGUCUUUUUUCUCUUUGUUUGUUGAUCCUAUUAGCAUAUUUUUACAGCUGAAAACCAUCAAACAGUUACUAUAUGAAGGUCAGGGUAUGAUUAUUGUGCUGUAGACAUGGUCUCCUUCCUUAUUGAAUUGUGAUGUGCUGUUUGUCCUUGAUUUUGAAGUAUUAGCCAACUGGUAAUUUGGCAGUCCCUGUACUGCAUUUCUAAUUGGGUGAUAGUACAAUGGAUAUGUAGUGGGGGGGUUUUAUGGCCACUGAUACUAUUUUCAAGCUUCCCAGCAGCUACUAACUGAAGCUUUCUCUCUUGAGAAAGGACAUAAUUAUUCCAAGUUGUGAGUAAAUACAGUUUUCAUUAAACAAAUAACAGCUUGGUCCUCCCCCUCACACCCCUGUGAGUAGAAACCUGGGAAGGGGUAUAACUGCAGCACCUCUGUAACAUUCCUAUAUGAGCUUUUGAAAAGCUUUACAACUGGUAAUCACAUCAGGAUUGUCAGAUUCCUGUUACACAUACAUCAGUUCCA